rnacentral:rRNA from 1 species
AUACGGAGGAUGCGAGCGUUAUCCGGAUUUAUUGGGUUUAAAGGGUGCGCAGGCGGCCAUUUAAGUCAGCGGUUAAAUCGUGGGGCUCAACCCCAUUCUGCCGUUGAUACUGGGUGGCUUGAUUGCGGUCGAGGUUGGCGGAAUUCGUUGUGUAGCGGGGAAAUGCAUAGAUAUGACGAAGAACACCGAUUGCGUAGGCAGCUGACCAGACCGCAAAUGACGCUCAUGCACGAAAGUGCGGGGAUCGAACAGGAUUAGAUACCCUGGUAGUCCGCACAGUAAACGAUGAAUACUUGUUUUCGGCGAUAUAAUGUCGGAGGCAAAGCGAAAGCGAUAAGUAUUCCACCUGGGGAGUACGCCGGCAACGGUGAAACUCAAAGGAAUUGGCGGGG